rnacentral:lncRNA from 1 species
AAAAAUGGUAGAGUUCCUGUGGAGUCUUUUAUUUGCUUUUUCUUAAUAGUACAGGUUUUGUGCCAAGAGGCUUUGAAGAGAAAACUCUAAGGCUCAGCCCUACCCUUUUCUAUUCUUUGAGGAUUAAAUAGCCUGACUGAGAAAUCUGAAGAUAAAGGGGAGCAGAGAGAUGGGGUAACCAAGAGAGAUUUUUUAAAUGAAAUUGCCGCAUCUUAUAGCAGAUCCAGAAUUCAGAUUUUGUGUCUAGGUCACAGGCRAAACAGCGGAGCACCAGAAGCCUUGAGGUGAGGCUUUCUACUGUGCAACCCAACCACUGAAAGUGCCGGCUAAAUAGUUUUGCAAGUGGCUACUAACACACGCGCUGCUUAAAUGAUAACUGUAAAUGAGAGAACACUGCGUUCCCUGCAAACCUGAAGACUUCUCUGCCAUUGUUUUAUGGGCAAAUAUGUGUACAUGAUGCAAAGAAAGGAGAGGAAUGGGAGGCAAACGGAGCAGCUGUGCAGCGCCCCAACGCGUGACUGGGAUUUACCGUCUGGGCAGCGGUGCUGGGCUGCCAAGGGUUUCCGCCAGCGCUUCAUCUCCCACCUGCCUGCUGUGAGGUGCCCUCGCAGGACCUCCUCGCACUGUUCCACCCACAGGAUGAGGCGUAGAGGAGGCUUCUUAAAGAACAGCGUUUGAAAACACAUGCUUUCAGGCACUAACAUGUUUCUGGAUAACAAGUUUCUYUUAAAAGGAGUGUUGAAGUACGUGGAAACAUUUGAUUAGCUGAAGUUGUGCAAUGCUGCCUCUCCGCAAACAGUGAGAUACAAAACUUGGAGAAACUCUUCACUGCUGAAAAUGGUCRUGUCAUUUCCAGGGUGGAUGUACUGGAAAGAAAGAUUUGGUUUAAAUCAAGUCUAAAAUACAGCAACUGCCAACUCUCAGUUUUAAAUAGACUUUUUAAUUUUUUUUUCCUGUUCUGCUGACCUUUUCCAGUGUAAUUCCAUUCUGUUCAGUCUCUGGGUUUUUACAUUUACAUAAAAUCUUCCAACAGUAAAUUAAGUUACAUGGCUAAAAUCAGUCGUCUAUAGUUUGUUUUCUCUUUCUUAAUUCUAUCCCAUCCCUGAGAAAUGGGGGGAGGGUGGCUGGGAAUAAUAGGAAAGAAAGACUAUUAAUGCAGUAUUUCUGAUAUGGUGAGAAUGCAAAAGUACUGCAGCAGGCUCUUGUG